rnacentral:rRNA from 1 species
GAUGAACGCUGGCGGCGUGCCUAAUACAUGCAAGUCGAGCGAACAGACGAGGAGCUUGCUCCUCUGACGUUAGCGGCCGACGGGUGAGUAACACGUGGAUAACCUACCUAUAAGACUGGGAUAACUUCGGGAAACCGGAGCUAAUACCGGAUAAUAUAUUGAACCGCAUGGUUCAAUAGUGAAAGACGGUUUUGCUGUCACUUAUAGAUGGAUCCGCGCCGCAUUAGCUAGUUGGUAAGGUAACGGCUUACCAAGGCAACGAUGCGUAGCCGACCUGAGAGGGUGAUCGGCCACACUGGAACGGGGACACGGUCCAGGCUCCUACGGGAGGCAGCAGUAGGGAAUCUUCCGCAAUGGGCGAAAGCCUGACGGAGCAACGCCGCGUGAGUGAUGAAGGUCUUCGGAUCGUAAAACUCUGUUAUUAGGGAAGAACAAAUGUGGAAGUAACUAUGCACGUCUUGACGGUACCUAAUCAGAAAGCCACGGCUAACUACGUG